rnacentral:rRNA from 1 species
AGUGAACGCUGGCGGCGUGCCUAAUACAUGCAAGUCGAACGGAGAUUAAGUAGCUUGCUAUUUAAUCUUAGUGGCGCACGGGUGAGUAAUAUAUAGCUAACUUGCCCAUUACUAAGGGACAACAGUUGGAAACGACUGCUAAUACCUUAUACUCCGUAUCUAUAUAAGUAGAUACGGGAAAGUUUUUCGGUAAUGGAUAGGGCUAUAUCGUAUCAGCUAGUUGGUAAGGUAAUGGCUUACCAAGGCUAUGACGCGUAACUGGUCUGAGAGGAUGAUCAGUCACACUGGAACUGAGACACGGUCCAGACUCCUACGGGAGACAGCAGUAGGGAAUAUUGCUCAAUGGGGGAAACCCUGAGGCAGCAACGCCGCGUGGAGGAUGACACUUUUCGGAGCGUAAACUCCUUUUCUUGGGAAAGAAUUAUGACGGUACCCAAGGAAUAAGCACCGGCUAACUCCGUG